rnacentral:rRNA from 1 species
UAUGGUUGUGUGCCAGCAGCCGCGGUAAUACGUAUGGAGCAAGCGUUAUCCGGAUUUACUGGGUGUAAAGGGAGUGUAGGUGGCCAGGCAAGUCAGAAGUGAAAGCCCGGGGCUCAACCCCGGGACUGCUUUUGAAACUGCAGGGCUAGAGUGCAGGAGGGGCAAGUGGAAUUCCUAGUGUAGCGGUGAAAUGCGUAGAUAUUAGGAGGAACACCAGUGGCGAAGGCGGCUUGCUGGACUGUAACUGACACUGAGGCUCGAAAGCGUGGGGAGCAAACAGG